AUAGGAAAUAGGAGCAAGGAGUCUCUAUAGAAAGCAAGAGGGAGAUAGUCACCACCAUGGGUCCAGCAUGGUUCAUAGUUCAGUCACUGAUCUUCAGUAGUGGUGGGUCAUUAGGUGUUGUUCCACUGAUGACAUGGUGAUGAUUGUGACGAUGAUGAUGAUUGCGAUGGCAGCACAAACAUUUAUAAGUCCAAAGUGGUUGAGACAGCUCUUUUUGGAGUGACAGCUUCUGGCUUUUGGAUCUCAGCAGGAACUCCUUUUGUUCUCAUCACCUCAUCACCAGCAGGGACACCUCCCACUAAAUGAAGAUGCCCAAAGUUCCAUCCAAAUUGGACUUGAACACUUCCAGCAAAAGAACUUCCACAACUUCUCUGCAAAAACUGUUCAACUGCCUCAUCAUCCUCUGGAGCUAGAAUGAAGAUGGAAUUUAGAAAAAGUGAGCGAAACCCUAUCAGUGAUGGUAGAGGCUGUCCUUGGCUUCCAAAUAUGUCCUCCCAAAGUCAACAGCAACUAAGGUGAAGAUCUGGUCCUGUGGUUUUUGCACCUGCGCAAAUUUCAAUGGACAACAAUUCUGCAAAGUCAUUCCAGAAUCGGAACUUUAGAGUUAAAAAUACCAGAAGGCAAUGAGGAAGAAACAGAUUGAAGAAGAUACAAUUUGUGAGGGGAAUGAAAAUGCAUACAUUCUUCUGAGCAAAAGUAUGCAUGUGAAAACUGAAAUAAUAAUUAGAUUAGCUAAUCUAGCCUUGGAAGGGAGUAAACUCUUUGAAAGGGUAGAUAACAGCAGGACAAGGGGGAACGGUUUUAAGUUGAAAGAGGGAAGAUUUAGGUUGGAUGUUAGG